GUGGGGAAUAUUGGACAAUGGGGGAAACCCUGAUCCAGCGACGCCGCGUGAGUGAAGAAGUAUUUCGGUAUGUAAAGCUCUAUCAGCAGGGAAGAAAAUGACGGUACCUGACUAAGAAGCCCCGGCUAACUACGUGCCAGCAGCCGCGGUAAUACGUAGGGGGCAAGCGUUAUCCGGAUUUACUGGGUGUAAAGGGAGCGUAGACGGCACUGCAAGUCUGGAGUGAAAGCCCGGGGCUCAACCCCGGGACUGCUUUGGAAACUGUGGUGCUGGAGUGCAGGAGAGGUAAGUGGAAUUCCUAGUGUAGCGGUGAAAUGCGUAGAUAUUAGGAGGAACACCAGUGGCGAAGGCGGCUUACUGGACUGUAACUGACGUUGAGGCUCGAAAGCGUGGGGAGCAAACAGGAUUAGAAACCCUAGUAGUCC
rnacentral:rRNA from 1 species